rnacentral:rRNA from 1 species
UACAGAGGAUGCAAGCGUUAUCCGGAAUGAUUGGGCGUAAAGCGUCUGUAGGUGGCUUUUUAAGUCCGCCGUCAAAUCCCAGGGCUCAACUCUGGACAGGCGGUGGAAACUACCAAGCUGGAGUACGGUAGGGGCAGAGGGAAUUUCCGGUGGAGCGGUGAAAUGCGUAGAUAUCGAGAGGAACACCUGCGGCGAAGGCGGGUUGCUGGGCCGACACUGACGCUGAUGCGCGAAAGCCAGGGGAGCGAACGGG